GGAGCUGUUCCAUUUGUUCUUCAGCUGCUGAUGUUGACCGCAAGACCAAAAAAGAGAGAGAACUAGCAUCUGCAGCCGAAAAGCUAGCAGAGUGCCAGGAGACCAUAUUUCUUCUUGGAAAGCAGUUGAAAGCUUUCCGUCCUCGAACGGAGCCUAAAGGAUCUCCGUACAGUGAGAGGAGUCAAAAGGGUGAGGGAUUUGCUGAAGAUGAACCCACUACUAGUGGCAUGAACUUGCAGGACUUUGAUCAGGCUGAGAUGGAUGGUACUGUUUCAAAAAACCUGCACAGAUCAGGUGCCGAGUCCCCCACGGAUUUGUAUAACCAACCAUGUAGUCCAUCUGAUACAGAAGGAAGCCUCACAAGAUCACCAAUCAAUUCAAAUCAGCCAAAACACAGGUCUACCAAGUCAACAUCCUCAUCUUCCACACUUGUUCAGGCACCAGAGAAUAAUCUACGAGGUUUCAGCAGGUUCUUUUCCUCAAAAGGAAAGAAUGGCAAUUAGGCCCUG
rnacentral:misc_RNA from 1 species